rnacentral:rRNA from 1 species
AUGGCCGCCGCGGCGUCGGACCGCCUGUCGGUUCUCUCCGACGACUUGCUCCGCCACAUCCUCUCCUUCGCCCCAGCCAGGGAGGCCGCCCGCGCCACCGCCCUCUCGCGCAGAUGGCGCCGACCACUGUGGCUCGAAACGGGCGCCAUCAACCUCGACUACCGCUCCUACACGACCGGCGGCGGCUUACUGAUUCCUCUCCAGUGCCGAGCGGUGGAGGACCCCAGCCACGCGCUCGCCCGCCACCGCUCCCGCGGGCGCGUUCCCAAGAAGAUCGCCGUCGUUAUGCGGGAUGAGCCCAUGGACGAAGAGAUCGUGCGCUGGGCCUGCGGCGGCGAUGAGCGCGUGGAGGAGCUCCGCCUCGACUGCAAAGACGGCGCCUGGCCGCCAUUCACGUCGUGUGCCUUGUUCCUGGAGCUGUGCUCGCUGCCGCCGGACUCGCUGCCGUUCGUGGCACUGCGAGUCCUCGAUCUCAGGGGCUGCAUGCUCGUGCCCCUCGACCCCUCGUCCAGAUUGGAUCCACCUCGGGGCGUCGCGUUCCCAUGUCUGGAGGCGCUGCGGCUGCGGCUGUGCAUCAUGAAGCUCUGCACGCUCCAGGACAUGAUCCACGCCGCGCCGAAGCUCGCUGACCUGCGGCUCGAGUCGCUGAGAUUCCUCGAUCCGUCGCCUUCGGGUUCACCCGCAACCCGGUGGCUCCGUCUACGCUGCCCGGCGGCCAGCGUGGUCGCCGUCACCAACAUGGCCACCCGUGACACUGACGCGUGCAGCCUCGAGGUCGACGCACCGUGCCUGCGCCGCUUCCGCUACACCCAGAUCGUGCCGUUCGACGCCUCCGUCUCCUUCAAGUCUCCCUCGCCCGGCCUGGAACGUGUCAACCUGGAGGUGCGCUCUGCGGCGUCCCUGCGCUCGGUCCACUUUGGCGGCGGCGCGUGCCACGCUAGGUCCCUCAAGCUGACGGUUUACUCCAUCGCCGACAUCGACGGCGCCCACUUGCCAAUGUUCCCCAACCUGGAGCACCUCGAAAUAGAAGAGCUGUGCGGGUGGUGUCUCGGCAGCCACGGCGCUGCGGCCUACGCAGUGCUGAACCUGCUAUGUUGCUGCCCGGCGAUCCGCGAGCUCAGGCUAAAAUUCAGCUGGCGGAAGUAUCUCAACGAAGCAGCAGAUGAUACGGCCACCAUGGUGGAUUUCACGGCGUGUAAACAAUCAUCCUUGAAAGGCGACGAUGAACACGACGACGACGACUGUGAUUGCUGCGACCGUGAGCUCCUCGACGUCCCCGGACUGAACUGCAGCUGCAGUGCGCUGGAUUGCUUACGGAACUCCUUGAGGAGAGUGGUCGUGCAGGUCGACGUGGACGCGCUCUCCUGCUUCCAAGUCCGGCUCGUCAAGUUCUUGGCCCAGAAUGCCAUGGUUCUCGAAGAGGUCCACGUCGACGGCGGAAGCCGCCACGACUCGAGCUGCAUUGAUCGCAUGGUUGCGAGAUGGAGGAGCGCCGCUAGUCGUUCGUCGCUUCUGGAAGAAGCAAGGAUCUGCCGAUGCUGCACGGCUGGUGCAGGGCCAUUGUCUCUGCUGCCGGCCUCUCCGGCUCCUCCGCCGCCUCCGCUCUGGGACUUCCCGCUGGUUCGUGAACCUCGCUGGCGACGUGCCCGCCGCACUGACCUGCCCGUCGUAACCCCCAGCGGCCGCGGCCGUGGCCGCCCUUUCCCGCCGCCACGCCCUCCACCAGCCUCCCGCGGUCGCCGGCCCACCGCCUUUCCCAAUCAUCCGUACACUGAUUAUGAUCUGAUGGUGAUUGGCUUAAACUAUGAAGUCGCUGAUUAUGGUCCGAGUAUCUGUCGCCUCUUCUUGAGAAAAGAAGCAGGUUUCGCCAAACUACACCAGAAGAAAAGAAAUAGGACCUUCUCCAUGGAUAUUUAG